CCUACGGGGGGCAGCAGUGGGGGAUAUUGCACAAUGGGGGAAACCCUGAUGCAGCGACGCCGCGUGUGGGAAGACGGUCCUCUGGAUUGUAAACCACUUUCCCCAGGGACGAAGAUGACGGUACCUGGGGAGGAAGCUCCGGCUAACUACGCGCCAGCAGCCGCGGUAAUACGUAGGGAGCGAGCGUUGUCCGGAAUUACUGGGUGUAAACGGAGCGUAGGCGGGGAUGCAAGGUGGGUGUAAAAACUACCGGCUCAACUGGUAGUCGCACUCAAAACUGCAGCUCUUGAGUGAAGUAGAGGCAGGCGGAAUUCCAAGGGUAGCGGUGAAAUGCGUAGAUAUUAGGAGGAACACCAGUGGCGAAGGCGGCCUGCUGGGCUUUUACUGACGCUGAGGCUCGAAAGUGUGGGGAGCAAACAGGAUUAGAUACCCCAGUAGUC
rnacentral:rRNA from 1 species